rnacentral:rRNA from 1 species
CGAGCAGGGUGGAGGAGGAGAAGGAGAGAGCUAGAGGAGACGGAGCGUGCGGCGGUGGCGAGCGGGAGCGCGGCGGCGGAGGCAAGCGGGAGGAGACGGAGCGUGUGGCGGUGGCGAGCGGGAGCGCGGCGGCGGCAGAGGCAACGGGUUGGACGACCUAGGGGUGGUAGGUGAAGAGGCCGCAGCAGCGGAGCAGUAGCGCACGUGCGCCGUCCUCCUCGCUCCCUCUGCACCUCGGCGGCGAUCCUUGCGGUGGCAGCAGGAGCGCACGUGUGCCGUCCUCCUCGCCCCCUCCGCACCUCGGCGACGACCCUUGCGGCCUACGCUAAUAGACGUCCAGCCAGUCGGGACGGUCGGAGUACAUGGAUCGUGCUCUACUUUCUCCCUAAAUCUCUUCCCUCCCUCGUCCUCCUCUUCUCCUUCUUCUUGGGAUGGUGGGGGUACGGGCGGGUCACGAAGCACGCCGAGACGUGGGGUUGGUAAGGUGGAGGUACGGGGAGGUUAAAGAGAUAGGGAAAAAACGUCUUAUCCCUAACUCUUAACCAGUUAUAUGACUUGCCUAUGUAAGUGACCUUUCCUCCCCGACGACUACAACACCCGAACUAACGGAAAAUUAACAACUAGGGUUUUAGGACGGGGCUGUGCUCGGUGGCGGCAAGCAGGCCUCUUCGCGCCCUUCUUCUUCUACCUACACAACUCUGGAACUACCCUACCUCUCUGCAAAGGAAAGUUUUUAAUGGCGAUCUUUAUCAUCUCUCUUUCGAGUUCGUGCCUUUGCUCGUCAAUUAAGAUAAACGGUCCCAAGACGACGACUAUAAUAGUUCCACCGAUACGAAUUGUCAGUAAGACAUUAAUGGUUACCCUCAUUGUGUGAACUAAGAUACCUACCCGAUUGCGUCUUGAAAAUUGUUUAGUCUCCCGCAACAGUGGAAAAC